CCCCUCCAGCUUCUACUCUUCCCAUUCCUACCACUUCAGCUUCUACUCUUCCCAUUCCUACCCCUCUAGCUCAUACUCUUCCCAUUCCUACCACUCCAGCUUCUACUCUUCCCAUUCCUACCCCCCCAGCUCAUAAUCUUGCCAUCCCUGCUCCUGGAGGAAACAAGAGGAAGAAAAAUAAUGAUUGCUCUCACAGCAGCCAGGAAGUAUUCAAGGGAGAUAUUUUGAAGGAACGAGUUAAAGAGGGAAGGAAGGAAUACCUUCUGAAAUGGCACCCUUGCAGUUUAUGUGGAAAAAAAUGGAGAAGCACCUGGGUGGAGGAGGAUUCCUUCCUUAUGUAGUGUGUGUGUGUGUGUCUGUGUGAGUGUUUAAUAAACCGUUGUUAUAAUGC